UACGGAGGGUGCAAGCGUUAUCCGGAUUCACUGGGUUUAAAGGGUGUGUAGGCGGAUACUUAAGUCAGUGGUGAAAUCUCUGGGCUCAACCCGGAAACUGCCAUUGAUACUAUUUAUCUUGAAUUCUGUUGAGGUGGGCGGAAUACAUCAUGUAGCGGUGAAAUGCUUAGAUAUGAUGUAGAACACCGAUUGCGAAGGCAGCUCACUAAACAGCGAUUGACGCUGAGGCACGAAAGCGUGGGGAUCAAACAGG
rnacentral:rRNA from 1 species